AUAUUGACAAUUGCAAUAUUGAAUUUGACAUUCAUUGUACUUAAUUUCUUGGACAGCGUGAUUGCUUCACCGGUGCAAUUAUUUCUACAAAGUCCACCAAGAACUAUAGAGUAUGUAUCAAUGCACACACUUACUCCAGAUUCAACCAUCUCAUUAAACUUCACCUUUGCAGCAACAGUUCGUCCAGCCAGAAAUAAUCCAUCCAGUAUGACGUUAUAA
rnacentral:rRNA from 1 species